UACGUAGGGUGCGAGCGUUGUCCGGAAUUAUUGGGCGUAAAGAGCUCGUAGGCGGUCUGUCGCGUCGGUCGUGAAAACUUGGGGCUUAACCCUGAGCUUGCGGUCGAUACGGGCAUGACUGGAGUUCGGCAGGGGAGACUGGAAUUCCUGGUGUAGCGGUGAAAUGCGUAGAUAUCAAGAGGAACACCUGAGGUGAAGACGGGUUGCUGGGCCGACACUGACGCUGAAGCGCGAAAGCUAGGGGAGCGAACGGG
rnacentral:rRNA from 1 species